UACGUAGGAUGCUAGCGUUGUCCGGAUUUACUGGGCGUAAAGCGCGCGCAGGCGGCACUGUAAGUAAGGUGUGAAAUCUCCCUGCUCAACGGGGAGGGUGCACUUUAGACUGCAGAGCUAGGGGACGGUAGAGGGGGGUGGAAUUGCUGGUGUAGCGGUGAAAUGCGUAGAGAUCAGCAGGAACACCCGUGGCGAAGGCGGCCCCCUGGGCCGAACCUGACGCUGAGGCGCGAAGGCUAGGGGAGCGAACGGG
rnacentral:rRNA from 1 species